UUUAGGUCACUCUCCCUCCCAAAUCGCUCUCAGCCUCGCUUUGACUCACCAUCACUCUCACACUCAAUCCCCCUUACCCUCUCACCCUCAACGAACCUCUCAGCCUUGCCCUCGCUCUCACUCUUAGUGGGUUUUUCUUACUUCAACCUCCGAUACAGCAAGGCACAACAUGUAAUUUGCAGAAGUAAGGAGAGAAACGAAGAAGGAAGAGAUCGGCAAACUACUUGCAGACCCACUCAAGCAACGAUUGAAGAGGAGAGAGAAGACUCUAGUGCGAAAUAGAAGCAACUGGAGUUGGAGAAAGCUGUCGAAGUCGCAGAUGAAGUUCUGUCGAUUUCUCCCGGAGACGAGGACGCGAUUAAGUGCAAAGAGGCGCUUUCCGUUAUUCGAUUUUGCAAAAAUCGUGCUCUGGAUUUCAGCUUCUUCAAGCUGCAUAGUGGUUUAUGGAUUUGGCAAUGCAGUUAUGAGAUUGGGUGAUUUCAUGAGCUGCAUUGAAUUGGGUGCGAUUUGUGUGUGAAAGAGGAAUGGAGGUUAGAUCUGAGGGUGUACAUAUCCAGUGCGACAAGCUUCCAUUGCCGGUGAUUGCUAGGACGCGUCUGUGGGUGUGGUUCAUACGGUUAUGCUCAAGCUUGUUUCUUUGGACUUGUUUGGUUAAGUUAGUGGUGGUGGGGGAGCUAUGGAAUCCGCAUUUGCUCUCCAACUUAACCAAUCGGAUAUCACAAAUUACACAGGUUCCAGGUCAAGGGGUUCUAUCUUCGUCAGCGGCGAGAAUAUACCCUUGGAAGGCGUCAUUCACUUCGACAAGCACAGCUCCUCUGCUCGAAUUAGAAAAUGGGGGGUGAAGUUGAGCAGAUUUCACUUAUGAAGUCUAAAGCUCAAGUCUCUCAGGAUGACGGUUACCUCGAGUACCUUGAGGACAUUAUUUGGACCAGCAAAUAUGUCAAAAAUAUUGAGAAAAUGGCCAUGAAAUUUGCUUACUGCAAGCACCCUUUUGGGAGCUCAACCCACAAUGAAGCAAAAAGGAUCGAUCAGAGUUAUCAAGUUGAUGAAGCCCUAUUCAGCAAGCUAACUGGUUGCUGCACACAUUUUGUAUCAUUGUUCCAAAGUUUCAUAUAUUGAUAACUUGAUAUCAAUGCCACAUGCACUUCAAUUGUUGGCUAUCUUUUUGGCAGUAAUAAGCUUAGUCUGACUCCCCAAGGGAUGGAAAGAAAUCUCACAUAAAGUAGCUCUUAAGGAGUAUAGGGUAUCUUUCCGUGCAUACAUUGCUGGUGGUUUAGAUCUGUCACUAAGCGCUUUUUCAUGGAACUAAGUAUUCGUCGUAUUGACACCACCUUUGCUCAGAGUGAAACACUUAGUAUCAUCAAUAGAAUGCACUACUUAAAGUUAAGGGUAUGUGGUUUGAAGCUGUUGGGCGCAUAAGAGGACAACUACUCAUGCAUUGGAUGGAUAAACAGAACAAACAUAUUUCUUGGGAGAAAAGAGAGAAGGCAACAUAUACGCAACACCAUAUUGAUGCAGUCAGAACAGAGUGGGCAAAAUUUGUUGUUAAAACAUAUAUGUAAGCAGUAUCGCGUCUAGCUGGUUAGUACUUAGGUUUAGGGACUUAUUUUGGUAACCUUGAUAUAUGAUAGACUUGAUAUAUUGAGGUUACUUUUGGUUGGGUUUAGGGACUUAUUUUGGUAAUUAACCUUGUAAAUGUGUUGGAUAUGGCAAUGUAUGAAACAAAUAGCAGUAAUCUAUGACAAUGUGGUAUUUUGGAUAUGUUUUGGA